GAGAAUGUUAUGGUACUACGCCGUCUCUGUGUCUGCUUGAUCAACUGAUGAUUGAUAGCUUUGAGUCUACCUGAAAAUUAAUCUAACAAUCAGUAUUUUUUUAUCGAUCAGGUCACUGCUGUAGCAAUGCGUCACUUCUUUUCCAUGUUUUUACUGCUAGCCAUUUUUGGGCUGCAUGUGAGCGUUCAGUCCACAGGAAGACGUUCUGAGCGGAGCACACACAGAAAAUACAAAUCAGUGUUGACCGUGUCUAACGGAAUGUACUGGGGGUCGUGGGGGGAUCAGGACAUGUGUCCAAGUGGAAUGUAUGCCGCAGGGUUCAGUUUGAGGGUGGAAAAACAUUCCCCUGGUUGGUUUGACGAUACAUCGCUCAAUGGGAUUCGUCUUCACUGUGUAUAUCCGUCCAGAGUAUCAUCAAGCUCAUAUGUUGUGUCCAACGCAGGACACUGGGGUGAGUGGACAGAUAUCAAGUGGUGUCCUUCUGGAUUCUUAAAAGCUUUCCAGCUGAGAGUCCAAUCUGCCCAAGGAAUUAAAGAUGAUACUGCUGCAAACAACAUCAGGUUCAACUGCAGUGAUGGUGCUGUGCUUCAGGGUAACAGCACAGCCUGGGGUGAUUGGGGCGACUGGAGCUCAGCGUGUGAUGGAAGAGGAAUCUGCGGUAUCAAGACACGAGUAGAAGAGCCACAGGGAACUGGAGAUGACACCGCUCUCAAUGACGCGCAAAUGUACUGCUGUGAUUAAGUUGUAGGAGGAUGACAACAAGAACAGCAAGAAGACCAAAUGGAUUGUCAUAAUUGAUCAUCAUUCUAUAAUCAGCUAACAUGAACCAUGUCAUACAACAGUUUUGUAAGGGAUAAUUUACAGUCAGCCGGUCAUUAUCACAAAACAAAGCCUAAAUGAAUCUAAGGUUGACUGGAUAGAGAAAAGUCAGGCUGAAUGGCUGUUUCUUAACAGUGCGACACCUCGUGGUACCUUCACAGAGAGGCUCAAAAUCACUUUCCUGACAUUUUUUGCAUUCACUGUUCCUUGCUGGUGGAAUGAUCUUCCCAACCCCAUCUGGAACUCUGAAUCCCUGAAAAUAUUCAAGAAACAGCUGAAAACUUCAUUAAGCACUUAACUGUAUCCUACUGAAUAAAAAAUUAUUCUAUAUUCUUCACUUUUCCUUUAUCUCUCCCUGUUCUAACUUGUACUAUUCUUGAACAAUGACUGAAACUUUGUAUUACUGGAACUUCUCAUGUUUAUUCGCCUCUUCAAGAUGAAUCGCACAUUUGUAAGUCGCUUUGGAUAAAAGCAUCUGCUAAAUGAAUAAAUGUAAUCUGCUUUCAAAUUGA